CUCGCGGAGGGAGAGGCGAGAGAAAAUUAGCCGCCUGGGGUGGGGUGACGCUUUUAAAAGGCAGGCAGCCAAAUUAACUUCGCGUGGAGCAGGUAAACGAAGGCAUCCCGAGGGCAGCAGGAGAAAGCAAGAGAAAGGAGGUGGAUUGAACCGGUAGGAGGAUGAAUGCCGAUUGGGAGAGAACUGAGAAGCUUCCAGGGGGGUGUUUAUUGAGGGGGGAAAUUAAUAAAGCUUGACAGAAGCAGGAAAUAAAGAGAGGGUGGAAGGCAAAGGGCAGAAAAAGGGGUUUGUAAGAAAGUGUAGAAUAGAGGAAAGGGGCUUAUUAUAUGAAGGGAGAUGAGAAGGGAACCUAGGAUUUGUGGAUCAGAGAACUUGGAUUAGGGAUAAUGAAGAAAAGGUGUACAGGUAGUCUUUGAUUUACAACAGUUCGUUUAGUGACCAUUCAAAGUUGCAACGGCCCUGAAAAAUGUGACUUAUGACUUUUUCAAAGUUAUGACCUUUGCAGCAACCCCAUGAUCGUGUGAUCAAAAUUCAGAUGCUUGGCAACUGGUUCAUAUUUAUGACCAUUACUGUGUCCCAAGGUCAUGUGAUCACCUUUUGCGACCUUCUGACAGGCAAAGUCAAUGGGGAAGCCAGAUUCACUUAAUAACUGUGUUACUAAUUUAACAGCUACAUGAUUCACUUAAUAACUGUGGCAAGAAAGUUUGUAAAGUGAGGCAAAAUUCACUUAACAAAUGUCUCACUUAACAACAGUAAUUUUGAGCUCAAUUGUGGUUGUAAGUCAAGGACUACCUGUACUGUAAACUUGUAGAGAUUUGAAAGGAGAAAAGUAUUUUGAAGUGGGUAGGGGCACUGUCACUAGGUAGCACCAGCCUGCCAUUCUGUUUCUUUCCCCAAGAUCCUGGGCCUGUCCUGCAAUGCAAACCUAGGAAAAGGCACAUUAGGUUUGAGGAGUGGCAGACAGAUCCUAUGUACUUUGAAAUACCUUUUCCCCUUGAAUUAAAGUGCUGCAUAGCUUUAAUACGUUGUAGGGUGGGGAACCUUCAUGAGUAUGGAAUAUGAUUCACCCAUUGCCCAAUCCAUAAAUGUUUUGAUAUUUUAUGGUGUUUUAUGAAUGUAGCAAAUGUAACUUUGAAUAAACUGUUUAAGCAGGAUAUCAUUUUAACAGCCAUCAACUUCUAGCAGGGGGACAGAGGUCGACCUCAAGGCACCUUGUUUGUGGGGUGCCGCAAGGGUCGGUCCUCUCGUCUCUCCUGUUCAACAUUUACGUGAAGCAGCUAGGUGAGAUGAUCCGUGGUUUUGGGGUGCAGUGCCAUCUGUACGCUGACGACACUCAGCUGUACAUCUCCACCCCAGACCACCCCAAUGAUGCCCUUGAAGUGAUGUCCCGGUGCCUGGAGGCCGUGCUUGUCUGGAUGGGGAGGAACAGGCUCCGACUCAUCCCCUCCAAGACCAAGUGGCUGUGGUUGCCGGCGUCCCGAUAUAGCCAGCUGGUGCCAUCGCUGGCUAUUGGGGGCGAGUCAUUGCCCACAGAGAGGGCUCGCAACUUGGGCGUCCUCCUGGAUGCAUGGCUAUCUUUAGAAGAGCAUAUGACGGCCGUGGCCAGGGGGCCUUUUUAUCAGGUUCGCCUGAUACGCCAGUUGCGCCCUUUUCUGGAUCAGGACUCCUUAUGCACGGUCACUCAUGCCCUCGUUACUUCCCGCCUGGACUACUGUAAUGCUCUCUACAUGGGGCUCCCCUUGAGCACCCGGAGGGUCCAACUGGUCCAGCAUGCGGCCGCGCGGGUGAUUAUGGGGGUGACAUGGCACUCCCAUGUAACACCUCUCCUGCGCGAGCUGCACUGGCUUCCUGUGGUCUUCUGGGUGCGCUUCAAGGUUUUGGUUCUCACCUUUAAAGCGCUCCAUGGCUUAGGGCCUGGAUAUCUACGAGACCACCUUCUGCCACCGAUAACCUCCCACCGGCCAAUACACUCCCACAGAGAGGGUCUCCUCAGGGUGCCGUUGGUCAACCAAUGUCGACUGGCGACCCCCAGGGUGGAGAGCCUUCUCUGUGGGGGAAGCUGCCCUCUGGAAUGAACUACCCCCAGGGAUACGACUGAUCCUGGACCUCCGUACUUUCCGCCAGGCUCUGAAGACCUUCUUGUUUCAACGAGCUGGGCUGGCUUAAAAUUUUAAUUGAUUAAUUUUAUGGGUAAGGGUUUUAAAAUUGGGAGCCAAACUGAUUUAAUUUUUUUUUUAUUAUUUUAAUUUUCAUACUGUAUGUAUUUUAACCCUGGCUGUUUACUGCCCAGAGUCCUUCGGGAGAAGAGCGGUAUAAAAAUUUAAUAAAUAAAUAAAUAAAUAGUUAACACUAAACCAUGAUUUGUUGAAUAAGACACUAUUGGUCAUAUUCAGGCCACACAUUGAGAUGAAGCAUGAGUUAGUGUUAAGCUAAGCCAACCUAUACAACAAUCUGAGCAUGAAAUACAAAUAUUUUUUCUUUUGCUUCCAUUGAAUCCAAUUGAUUUAUAAAAGAUGCUAUCUUAUUAGUUGGGUUUACACAAUUGGUUAUUACUGGAUCCCAGUCACCUGAUUAUGUGCCAUCAAAUUUGUGUUCAUUGUAAGCGACUGCAUAUCUCAGGAUGUUCUGUCCCCAUCUUGUUCCUUCUGAUCACAAGAAAACUGAUAGAAAUGAAAGAAUGGUGGUACAUUAUUGUGGUGGGUUGAUCACAGAUUCAUUCUUAUAAUGGUAAAUCCUAUUGUUUUCAAAUGUUUGUUUACUUGUAGAAAAAUAAAGGCAAACUUUAAGCUCUAUGAAUUCAUAAAUGGUAAUUAUGUUGCAUACGCUAGAAAUUGUAUGGGCAAUAAAAAGUCUGUGAUUCAUUAGGACAAAAGGUGAAGGUCUAGUUCAGUGAUGGCGAACCUUUUCGACACCAAGCGCACAUCUGGGCCGCAACCCGGAAGAGGAGCUGCCCAGGGCCCAUGCACACAUCCGAAAAUGAACUUCCUGUUUCAGCCAGCUACCCUUCUGGGUUUUUGGUACACAUGAAUGCAUGACAAUCAGCUGGCCGGCGCGCAUGCUCACACAAGAAAACGGAAGACCAGCUCUUCCAGUUUCCAGCACUGCCACAUGCAAAAAGGCCAGCUGAUCGUCACGUACUCAUGUGCGUCAGAAACCCGUAAGAGGAACGGGCGAUGCCACACGUGCCAGGCGACAUGGCUCCACGUGCCACUUCGGGUAUGCGUGCCAUAGGUUCGCCAUCACGGGUCUAGUUUGACCACAGUCCUUCCUGCAUUUCUUUUGUUCUACAACUGGCUAUUUUCCAUCCCAAGAGUUAGAAGCACAUUAACUAAUAUUAGUAAUUGCAUAUUAAAUUGCUGAUUUAAAAAUAGGCUGAGAAGAAAUUACAUUUCUUCCCUCCUAGGAAAAAGAUCUGCUUUCCCCCCACCCACCACCACCACAGAACAAAAAGAUCAAAGCACUUUUUUCAUCUCCCUUCCAAAAAGUAGCCUUAUUACUACCAUCAUUUGACAUGUGUUGAAGGAAGAAAAAUCUCGUCUCUGACAAUAUUUGCAUGACAUUAGUAAUUUGCAUUACUAUUAGAUUUUUAUUAUGCUUAUUAAAAUAUAUUUUGGUCAUCUCAAGGCAUCAAGCAUACCUAAUACCUUUCCUCCAAUUUUCUCCACAACAACCUGUGAGGUGGGUUUUGCUGAAGGUGAGUGGCCCAAAGUCACCCAACCAGAUGCUUUAUGAUUCAGUAUAUAAUUGGGGCUUUAAAAUAUUUAUUUAAAACUGUAUAUGGCUGCCUUAUAUGCAAUCAACCUAGGCAACCCACAAAAGAUCAGCAAUAAUCAUAUCACCCAUACAAGAAACAUUAUGCUUCUCACCAUAGCACCAUAACAUCCAUCUGUUCUAAAUAUAUAGACCACAAGAUGAUGUUCCCCCAUUUCAAUUUUUUAAAAAGAUUGGAGAGAUUUUAAAAAUUGGAGAGAUUGGUGCUGAUGUGAUUGUCUGGAUUUGUUUUUUCAUUUUGUCUCUCAUAGUUGAGGUCUACCUAUGAUGUCAAUUACAGGCCUCUCUCAUCUUUUUAAGCGGGAGAACUUGCACAAUUGAUGGCUGACUAAAUACUUUUUUACCCCACUGUAUAUAGAACAUCAGUUUAUCUUGUAUGUUGAUAAUAAUGAUGGGUGGUUAUCUCCAACUAUCUCUUAAAUAUUAUUAACUGAUAUUCUCUUCCAAAACCACCUAGUAAUCAGGCAACAGCUGCAACCUAAUAUAAUAGUAAAAUAACAGUAACAAAUAAAAUUCAAAUUCCUGGUUUAGUUCUACUUACAAAAUAUUUUUUCAUAACAUAAAUUAUUGUUAUUUGAAGCAAAAAACACUUUGGAUGACAAGUGAAAUACAGAAAAGAAAACUUUCUGUAUUUUCACAGACAGCAUUUAAACACAAUCCUGUAAAACAAGGUAGAUAAAAAUCGAUUAUUAUUUUUUUUUAAUUAAUGGAUUUUUUUUUAAUUUAAAUCAGAUUUUUUUAUCAAAUUUAUUUUAAUAAAAUACUUUUGGAGUAAAAAUUUAUAUAAAAGGAGCUUAGUUAUGUAGCAUGAGACUGUAUAUUCUGCAAUAUUGGGACUGUUGGUGAGUCAACAGCGGAUCAGAGGAGGAGCUGCUGCAGGACAGAGUUGACAGUUGCUCUUUAAAAAUUAUGAUUUAAAUCAAGCCUUUUUACUAGUGAUUUAAAUCAUGAUUUAAAUCGACUUGAUUUAAAUCAAAUCCACCAUGGUGUAAAAUCUGUUAUUUUAUACAAUAGAUAUUUGUUUCCAAAGCCUGUUAUUGACUUAGCCCUAGCACCUGCUGGCUGGACACUAUAAAAGAUUAUGACACCAAGAUGACCAUGGCGGAGCUGAAGGAGGCAAUGUGAGACAGAAGAACAUGGAGAAUCUUGAUCCAUGGAGCGGCCAAGGGUUAGACACAGCUGAUGAUGACAAUGAAUAUUGACUUGAUUGACAUAUGUGAAAAUACAGGUUUUAUUCUCAGUUUCUGGUGAGAUUUUGACAUAUUAGAGUACAGAGUAUCUAUAGGAAUAGGCAGUCUUGUUAGACUAAUGUAUCAAAAGCACAUUCAGUCACCUUUCAAGAUUUUCCUAUUAUCCUCAAUUAUUAAUUCUAUUAAAGUCUCUGGCUUUCUAGAAUUGAGAAACACUCUAGUCACUUGAAAACAUCAUACCUGAUUACCUUCUCACACCGAGAAGAACCAAAAGGUUUCUCUGGUUUUUAAAUGACCAGGGAGAUGAAAGUUUGAAUUAUGUACAUGGAAUAUUAUCCAAAAGUACUCACUGUUUACUCAUUAUAUCUGCAAAAUCAUCCAACCAUCAAUGAAUCAUACAGGCCAUUCUGCUGCCUAAGUUAUUAGGACUAGAGAAAUUAUUUUGAGGUUAUUCAUUAAAAAGUUAGGUUAAGUUAGCUGGGAAUCCAGAAUCUUAAAAAAGAAUUACAAUGGCUUGAGAUAUGAAAUGAUUGAAAUUGUGCUACAACUUCAUCAGGAGAGCCACAAGUUCCCAAAUAUCUACUUGAGCUACCCAUCACUAACAUAUAUUGUUUAUUCACAUCAGGUGCUAUACUUGCCCAGGUGGAAUUCAAUGUAUGCAUAUGAUCAGAAUACCAGAAAGGGUAGAAAUCCUGACAUUGUUCAGAGGCUAUAAGGAUUAAGACUGGUCCUACACUUAUUUUUAACUGGUUCACAAUUAUAUUUCAAUUGAUCCCCGGGUAUAGUCUCCUCCACUCCUACCUUUUUAUUUUUAACUGGUUCACAGUUCAUAUAAACUGUUACCCAGCGUAUGCUUUCCUCCACUCCUAACUCUGUUUAUUGGCUGGUCCACAGCGUUGCUUUCACUGUUUUCCAGCUCAUGCUUACCUCCACUCCUAACUCUUAUUUUAAUUUUUAACUAAUUCCAAGCUUUGUUUCAACUGUUUUCUAAUAUAAUACCUUCCUCCACUCCUACCAUAUUUAUUAACCUGGAGCAAAACUCUACUUUAGCUAAUUUCCAAAAUCAUAUUUCACAUUACUCCUAGUUUCACAUAUUUAAUUGAUUAAUAACAUUUUGUUUUAAAUAUUAUCUUGCUUGCAUUUUGCUCUCUUCCAACUUCUCUUAUUCAAUCUGUUAGCUUCAAAUUAUUUCACAAUGUAUUACCCAUAUUGUUUUUCCAUUUAUUCUCCUCUUCUUAAAAACUUCCAGUGAUGAAGCACCCACAACUUCUUUUUCUCUUUCUCUUUCUCUCUCUGCUCUACUGGUUACUCUAGAUCAGGGGUGUCAAACACAUGUCAUCAUGGUAUUGUCUCGUGAUGUAUUGUGACUUUUCCCCCCCUUCACUAAAAUGGGCAUGAUGUAUUCGGCCUACGAGCCGUGAGUUUGACAACCCUGCUCUAGAUGGAGUAGCACUUAAAAAGUAGAUCUGUAGGUUGGAGCCCUUCUUAAAGCAAUCAUUGGAUAGACAUGCAAAGAAUAUUACUUUGAAGAUCUUCGUCCAGAUCUUUGGUUGAUAUGCCAUUUAUAGUCUUUUUGGGGAAGGAGGUUCUGGUUACAAUGUCUCACACUUUUAUUACCUCUUGAUUAGAUUACUAAAGAGCAUGUUGCAUGGGUAUCCUUUGAAGUCUACACAGAAACCGCAGUUCAUAUAAAAUGUAACAGCCCAGUGGGAGGAAUACUGACUGAGAGUAUUCAAAACAGCACCAUUACCACCUGUCAUUUCCUGGUUCUCAGCUGGAGAACAAAUGAAGAGGUUCAAAUUUUAAAACUGAAAGAAAUACAUUUGCUCCAUUGAAGAGAAUUGCUACUGCUGUGGUUAUCAACUGCAAACUGCUGACGCACUUUUGUACCCCACAGACUUCUGUUUUAAAUCAACUAACACCAGCAUCAUCAGUUUUUAAGUAUGGGCAAUGUGUUUUUUUGCCUGAGAUAAUCAAAGUUAAAUAAAAGUGUCUUGAGAGAACACUAAACCAUAACAUUUGUUUGUUUUUAAUUUAUUGUAUGGUGGUAAUUUUAUAUUAUUUAUAAUUUAUGGCAUAAGAAUUAAGCAUGAACCAGCUGUUAUGUUUGCCAUAGUUUGAUUUGAUGUAAAUUUAGUUGCACAUUAGACAUCUGUAAUACUAAAUUCCAAAUUCAGAGAAGAAAUGGAGAGAAGCAAAUAUGCUGUUUGGGGGAAUAUCUCUACAAUGACAAUUAGAAAUUAGACUGGCAUAUUUUCAUCACUUGAGAUGAUCUUAUAAUCACUUCUGUCCAAUGAGACGUGGCCUAAUAUUAACUGGACAAUAAGGACUAAAAUGUAGAUUAAGUGUUUUUCUGCUUAGACUGGUCUAUCAGGGCAACCUGGUGUACCCAAAUAUGGGACAGAGCAUACUGCUUUGACCUUUCAGCCCCAAUCCAGGAGCCUUCGCAGGCAGUCGCUUUCAUGACAAACCUUUAUUUCUUUGUCAGUAAAUAUAAAUUCAGCACAAAUGUAGAUUGUUGAAAAAGAUAAAAGAAAUUAAUAUACUAAUAAAUGUGUUAUAAGUUGCUGAAAGACUAUGCGUUAAAAAUAUGUCUAUGCAUUGGCAGUUUUAGAAAAAAAUUGUGGAGAAUUUUCCUUCGUUUCUGUAAAUUAGAUAUAGUAUAUGCUCUUUGAAUGUUUGACUCAUCAUCCAAUGAAAGUGACUGUCUUAAGUGAAACCUGAUUGUGAUGUGAAUCUAUCCAGCAAAAUUGAACUGAAAAGCCUGCUUGGGGAAAAAAAAGGCUCCUCAGAAUCCUGAAUUGUUAAUUACAGCUUCUUUUGCUGUCAGAAACAGUUGGUUGUUACUGAAAAUGCAUUAAAUUGAUUCAUGCUUCUGGUUGAUGUAAUUGAUGGCAAACCAUCACCUUCAAAUUUCAAGUCAAGGACAACCCACACACUUCCCUGUUGCUUAAAUUCUUUCAUGCUGUCCUGGGCAGCCACAUGGUUGCCAUUAUUGGAUGAAAAGGGCAAGAAUUAAUUCCCCUGUUUCCUAGGAAACAACAGUGACUACUACGUGUCAGUUGAAGUGAUUUUAAAUAAGUCCUGUUUAGCCUGUGACAAUAUAAUCUACAGCUUUUACACUUUUUCCCUUAAUUUUACCUCUUUUUUUAGUCAAGAAAAUUUUUUCCCCAAAAACUGAAAAGGAGAAUUAAAGUCAAGAAGAGACAUUAUGUCUACUUAUUUUAAACCUUUUUGUUUCUGUUAGAUGCAUUUGAAAUGAGUUUUAAAAUAUUUGAAUAUUUUAAAAUAUUUUAAUGUUUUAAAAUAAUUGUUCUAAUAAAAGAUUAUUCAUAAUUAAUUAAACCCCAGAUUCUAGAGUGAUUUUGCCCCCCUUUAUACCAUGCACUUUGUGGGAAGGAGGGAGGAAAGCCUGUUUUUUUGUUUGUAUUUUUGAGUUAUUUUAACAUGUAUAUUGCCCAGAAUUGUGAUGGAGUCAGGCAGCCUUAUAAGUUUAAUAAAUAAAGCUAAACCAAGCAGAAAGAAUUGAGAGGUGAAAGGGAAUAGACAUUACAGAACAGAAUCAAAUUUUAGAAAAAUGCCAUUUGUAAUGAGAAAAGAUAAGACUAGAGAUAGAAUACCUUGUUUCUAUAUGUAGCUAUCUUCUGUAGUAAGCCAAUAAAGCUGAUUUUGUAUCUUCUAGGUAAAAAGGUAUAUUCGAUUUAGUUCUGAUCAUAAGAAGAAAGUUCUCUAAAUUUAGUCUGUUCAAGACUGUGUGUAAGCUUGGUCUAGGAAAAAAGAGGCUUGCUGGUUCUAGUAUGUUUUGGCUACCCUGAGCACUACAGUACAAUAUAUGUGCAUCUGAAUAAGAAUAGGUAACUUUUGCUGAAAACUGCCUAACACUGAACUCUUUAUUGACGAGAGAAGUAGAGGAGCAUAUGGCAAUAGCCAUAAAAUAGCCACAAAAUCUUUAUUGUUAGAAAUUAGAUCAAUAUCUAUCAUUUUAACUGCCUAUCAAAACCUUUCCUAUCAAAAUCCUUCCUAUUGACACGUGUCCUAACACAGUAUUUCAAAUACCAAUCUAUGCUAAUGGUGAUUUAUUUCAGUUAUUACAUGGUACUGCUGUAGAAUAUUAUUGAAAGUAAUUGCCUUCCAUCACCGCUUGCUGCUCCUUAAUUGUUUCUUCCUCAGCACCACCAGACUUUAAAAAAUACAGAGCAAACCUCCAUCCAGAAAUUGAAUAGAAGGUGUGGAUAAGAUCUGUUAGUAUACAGUACAUCUUUGAGCAUUCUCUCACACCUCAGCUGUAUGGGCCAGGAGGCUUCUGCAGGGCAUUAUUUUCUACUCAGAAAGAUAGAGGAGAGCCUUACCCUGUAUUUUGUUGAAGAAGAAACUGGAUAUCUAAUAAAGUUAUUGACUGGAUAUCUAGUAAAGUUUGCAAAGUACAAUCCUCUAAGUGCCUUUGAGACACCAGUAUGCCUGAAAUUCUCUUUGCAUGCUAGUUAUUUGUUCUGCUUUGCUUCUAAUUUUAUCUAAGACCUUCUGUUUCUUCUCAAUGUAACACUUUGUCCUCUGAAACAUUGUCUAGAUGUUAAUUUAACUGAGGAUAUUGUCUGAUUUAAAGAAAUGUAAGUUAUAAUUAUCUGUUAAUUUUUCAAUCUUUAUUAAUUUGCAUAUGCAAACAUGUUUAGAAUUUUAAAAAUUGUAUAUUUCAUUUUUAGAGGAUACAUGUUUGAUUAUAAUAUAUGCCCUUUUGGAAAAAGCAUUUCUUAAGUGAGAUAAUAGGAAAUACUCUUCUAAACUGUAAUUGCUGCCCUAUUUUAUAAUGUUUAUUAAAAGUUCAAAAUCUUUGAAA